rnacentral:rRNA from 1 species
GGGAGUGAAAAACUCCCACGCCGAAAGACCAAGGUUUCCUGCGCAACGCUAAUCGGCGCAGGGUGAGUCGGCCCCUAAGGCGAGGCAGAAAUGCGUAGCUGAUGGGAAACGGGUUAAUAUUCCCGUACUUCUUAUAACUGCGAUGGAGAGACGGAGAAGGCUAUGCCUACCGGGCGUUGGUUGUCCCGGGGAAAGGCUGUAGGCUGAGGUGUUAGGCAAAUCCGGCACCUUAAGGCUGAGAGUCGAGACCACUGGUCCUUUGUGACCGGGAAGUGGUUGAUGCCAUGCUUCCAGGAAAAUCUUCUAAGCUUCAGGUUAUAAGGAACCGUACCCCAAACCGACACAGGUGGUUGGGAUGAGUAUUCUAAGGCGCUUGAGAGAACUCGGGUGAAGGAACUAGGCAAAGUGGUACCGUAACUUCGGGAGAAGGUACGCCGCUGAAGGUGAUGAGACUUGCUCUCUGAGCUAUCGGCGGUCGCAGUGAAAAGGCCCCUGCAACUGUUUAUUAAAAACACAGCACUCUGCAAACGCGUAAGCGGACGUAUAGGGUGUGACGCCUGCCCGGUGCCGGAAGGUUAAUUGAUGGGGCUAGCUUCGGCGAAGCUCUUGAUCGAAGCCCCGGUAAACGGCGGCCGCAACUAUAACGGUCCUAAGGUAGCGAAAUUCCUUGUCGGGUAAGUUCCGACCUGCACGAAUGGCGUAAUGAUGGGGGCGCUGUCUCCACCCGAGACUCAGUGAAAUCGAAAUCGCAGUGAAGAUGCUGUGUACCCGCGGCUAGACGGAAAGACCCCGUGAACCUUUACUAUAGCUUCACAGUGGACUUUGAACCUGUUUGUGUAGGAUAGCUGGGAGACUUUGAAGCAGUGACGCUAGUUACUGUGGAGUCGUCCUUGAAAUACCAGCCUGGCAUGUUUGAGGUUCUAACCUAGGUCCCUUAUCGGGAUCGGGGACAUUGUGUGGUGGGUAGUUUGACUGGGGCGGUCUCCUCCCAAAGAGUAACGGAGGAGCACAAAGGUACCCUCAGCACGGUCGGACAUCGUGCAACGAGCGUAAAGGUAGAAGGGUGCUUGACUGCGAGACCUACAAGUCGAGCAGGUGCGAAAGCAGGUCUUAGUGAUCCGGUGGUUCUGUAUGGAAGGGCCAUCGCU